GAUGAACGCUGGCGGCGUGCCUAAUACAUGCAAGUAGAACGCUGAAGCAGUAGCUUGCUCUUCUGGAUGAGUUGCGAACGGGUGAGUAACGCGUAGGUAACCUGCCUGGUAUCGUGGGAUAACUAUUGGAAACGAUAGCUAAUACCGCAUGACAACAGUUAUUGCAUGAUAACUGUUUAAAAGGGGCAACUGCUCCACUUCCAGAUGGACCUGCGUUGUUUUAGCUAGUUGGGGAGGUAACGGCACACCAAGGCGACGAUACAUAGCCGGCCUGAGAGGGGGAUCGGCCACCAUGGGACUGAGACAAGGCCCAGACUCCCAAGGGAAGGAGCAGUAGGGAAACUUUGGCAAUGGACGGAAGUCUGACCGAACAAAGCCGCGUUGGGGAAGAAGGGUUUCGGAGCGUAAAGGUCUGUUUUAAGAGAAGAAAGAGUGUGAGAGUGGAAAGUUCACGCUGUGACGGUAUCUUAACAGAAAGGGACGGCUAACUACGUG
rnacentral:rRNA from 1 species